AGAGCCAUGCUUUUCUCAUUUGGUUUAACACCCAAGAGAAAUAGGUCUUUUCGGCUUUCAAGUGGGUCACUCUCUCGUACGUUCUCCCAUGUUCAAUGGUGUUAGGAUCGGAGCGGCACUAAGAGGGGGGGGGGGGUGAAUUAGUGCAGCGGAUUAAAACUUCGAUUUUAACAAGAUCUUUCGUACGUUAAGAACGAAACUUGAAAAAUUU
rnacentral:lncRNA from 1 species